UUUUUUAUUUAAAUUAACUUUAAAAAAUAGGUUUACCCUCCUUACGUAUACAUUAAUUCAAUGUAUAGAUAUGCUUCCUCUUCACGUAUACAUUAAUUCAAUGUAUAUGACAUGCUUUGUCAACAUUAAUUUAUAAAGCAAAAACAACCGAUAACUAGCUGCACAUGCCACGAACAGAAUUGGACCGCUAGCUAACGCUUAGCUUACCUUUCAAUGAAUCUCUCUCCACUUUCUUUACGCUGAACCAAAUGCAUUACAUAAAUAUCUUGAAAAACUCUGCAUUAUACAUAUAUAUAAAAUAUUAGCAAGUGGGCAGUUUAGUCGAUAGCAGCAUUAAACAGGAAAUUUUCUGGUGCUCUCUUGCUCGCAGUUGCCAUUUGACGGAGCGGGCUAAGCGGAAGCGGUAUUGAUAGAAUAGAUAGCACUAGAUAUUAUUCUAGUACGGAACCAAGUUAACGCGAUUAAUUUACACUCUAAUUGAAAUAUGAUUCAAUUUUAUUUUAACUCAAAUGACUUAAUGAGAUUUUUAAUAACGUUUAAAGCCGUUUAAAACAAGAUUAUAUGAUGCUCUAAUUCAAACGACCCUACAAGAGAGAUUUUAAUAAAUAAUUUCAAAAAAAAUUAGAAAAUGAGAUUUUAUUGAAUAAUUAAAAUUACAGUUAUGAAAACAAUAACAAGAUCUCUCUAUUUAUAACACCUAUUUCCCUAAGUUAACUUAAAAAAGGAAAGUAAACCACAAUUAUAAUAGACAUAUAAAAGACUAAGACACUUAUCAUAAUUGACCUUAAUUAAAGCAGAAAGUGUUAAAAUAAUAAAAAUUUCUAGAAUCUUAAAAUAACGUCCUACAUUGCUAUUGUAUCAGUGAAAUAUAUCACUAUAAAUUUCU
rnacentral:lncRNA from 1 species